rnacentral:misc_RNA from 1 species
CUAUCAUCAAUUAAUACCUUUAUUUGUUUUUCUAAUUGCGCCGCUCUCGAUUGUAACUUUGAAUUUCUUUCUCUUUCUUUUGCAAUAUCUGUAUUGACUGACACUCUGUACGAAGGAGUUCUCAUUGAUUCUAACAUGAGCAUAAAUUGGUCCCUGCGUACGAAAAUGUAUUUGUAUAAAGAAAUACGUAUACAAGCAGCGUACAUAUGUGUAUAUUUUACAGAAAGCAAAGAUACCUGUACAAGUCCAAAAGUAUUUGUAAUGCGUACGGAGUGGCGGACGGAGCAGGUGGUAUACUAAGUUCUUCAUGCACAGAGGUGGAAUGUGACUGUAAUGAAAGUGAUAAUGAAGACAGUUGUUGAUCCACACAACCAGGCGCGGGCGGUGGUUUCUUUCCCAAAGCUUGCGGAGAUGUACUCAGUAAUGUUUGACUAUGCAAUCCGGAUCCGGAGGUGAGGGGCCAUUGAUAGACGAUCGGUUCUGCUCCGGCUGGCGAGUGCAGGCGCAGCUCCAUUUUAGCAGGCCCGUCGUCCUCGUCCCCGUCGUCGUCGCCUUCCACUUCUUUAGUAAGUCGUUUCUUUCGAAAGCCCAGCUCAGGAUCGUGUGUGACGUAACCACUUGGAUUAACCGUUCGGCGGAGGAUCGUGGUCGCUCGUCCUCCCCGCACUAGGACACUACCACCACGUAGACGACGCUCGCGGAUCCCCCCGCUGCGCGAUUACAUCGCCGGACAUGAAAAGACACGAAGGGCCACCUCCAGCGACAGUCAAUCCACAAGGGUAAUCGUUAGCUCGAAAGGCAAGCAUCCAACAUUCGACGAGACGAUGGGAAGGACGAA